rnacentral:rRNA from 1 species
UACGGGGGGGGGCAAGCGUUGUUCGGAAUUACUGGGCGUAAAGGGCUCGUAGGUGGCCAACUAAGUCGGACGUGAAAUCCCUCGGCUUAACCGGGGAACUGCGUCCGAUACUGGUUGGCUUGAGUUUGGGAGAGGGAUGCGGAAUUCCAGGUGUAGCGGUGAAAUGCGUAGAUAUCUGGAGGAAUACCGGUGGCGAAGGCGGCAUCCUGGACCAUUACUGACGCUGAGGCGCGAAAGCGUGGGGAGCGAACAGG